UAGCCAAUCACAAGAAUGCGAAAUAGGCUUGGACACUUCGGAGUAAAGAAGGAAAAAUGCAGUUGAGUGUGCAGGCUUCUCGCAGUUAAAACACUGUCCCUGGAGCCCUAAGAAGUCACAACGGCACGCCCUUCUAUAGCCAGUGUAAAUAGUCUGCAUCAUGAAUUUUACUCAAUAACCACUGAGGAAGUCAAACCCAGAAAUGGUUGAUUGCUACUGGAUAUGCCUGCCAGGUACUUAAAUUCCUGAAUUUGCAGAGGGCCAAGCAGUUAGAUUGGAUGGGCCUAUGUUGUCAUUCAGUUGACAGAAGUUAAUUGGCUUUGCCAGCAGAAAGAACCUGAGCCCCAAAAGAGGGGGGGACGCGAGGCCUCGUGGAGAUUUCAGCUCAAAUCCCCUCAGUAGGCCCGUGUCACACCAGCGACCUAAUCUCUCCAUCUCGGACCUCAUUACAACUGUGUUUGUCCAAAACAAUGGGCACAGAGUAAUGAAAGAGGCUGCCAUGCUGCCAAACAGAUUGGAAGGUAAUAAAGAAAAAAUCAGCAGCACAGAGUGAAAGGAGAA